ensembl:lncRNA
GAGGGAGACAGAAUGAGUCAGAGGAGACAGACGGAGUCAGAGGGAGACAGGAGGAGUCGGAGGGAGACAGGAGGAGUCAGAGGGAGACAGACGGAGUCAGAGGGAGACAGGAGGAGUCAGAGGGAGUCGGAGGGAGACAGGAGGAGUCGGAGGGAGACAGAAUGAACAGGAGGAGUCAGAGGGAGUCGGAGGGAGACAGGAGGAGUCAGAGGAGACCGAAUAAGUCAGAGGGAGACAGGAGGAGUCGGAGGGAGACAGGAGGAGUCAGAGGGAGACAGAAUGAGUCAGAGGGAGACAGGAGGAGUCAGGGAGGGAGACAGGAGGAGUCAGAGGGAGACAGAAUGAGUCAGAGGAGACAGGAGGAGUCAGAGGGAGUCGGAGGGAGACAGGAGGAGUCAGAGGGAGUCUGAGGGAGACAGGAGGAGUCAAAGGGAGACAGAGGGAGACAGGAGGAGUCAGAGGGAGUCUGAGGGAGACAGGAGGAGUCAGAGGGAGUCGGAGGGAGACAGGAGGAGUCAGAGGGAGACGGAGGGAGACAGGAGGAGUCAGAGGGAGACAGAGGGAGACAGGAGGAGUCAAAGGGAGUCUGAGGGAGACAGGAGGAGUCAGAGGGAGUCCCUCUGUCUGAUGGAUUUCAGUUUUCCUGACAUUAAAAUCAUUGGCCACUAGGAGCACAGUCUCG